rnacentral:rRNA from 1 species
AUUGGACGCUGGCGGCAUGCCUUACACAUGCAAGUCGAACGGCAGCACGGGAGCAAUCCUGGUGGCGAGUGGCGAACGGGUGAGUAAAGUAUCGGAACGUGCCCAGUCGUGGGGGAUAACGUAGCGAAAGUUACGCUAAUACCGCAUACGAUCUAUGGAUGAAAGCGGGGGAUCGCAAGACCUCGCGCGAUUGGAGCGGCCGAUAUCAGAUUAGGUAGUUGGGGGGGUAAAGGCCCACCAAGCCGACGAUCUGUAGCUGGUCUGAGAGGACGACCAGCCACACUGGGACUGAGACACGGCCCAGACUCCUACGGGAGGCAGCAGUGGGGAAUUUUGGACAAUGGGCGCAAGCCUGAUCCAGCCAUGCCGCGUGCAGGAUGAAGGCCUUCGGGUUGUAAACUGCUUUUGUACGGAACGAAAAGGUUUGGCCUAAUACGCUGAACUCAUGACGGUACCGUAAGAAUAAGCACCGGCUAACUACGUGCCAGCCGCCGCCGUAA